CCCUUAGAUGUCCUGGGCCGCACGCGCGCUACACUGAGUGUCUGAGAUACGAGUCUGCCUGGUCCGGCAAGGUCUAGGUAAUCGCUAAAAGACACAUCAUGCUUGGGAUAGAUUAUUGCAAAUAUUAAUCUUGAACGAGGAAUUCCCAGUAAGCGCGAGUCAUAAGCUGGCGUUGAUUACGUCCCUGCCCUUUGUACACACCGCCCGUCGCUACUACCGAUUGGACGGUUUAGCGAGGCCUUCGGAUUAGCGCGCGCCGCGCCGCCCGCCCUUCGGGGUUGGGUGGCUGGUGAUAGCGUUGAGAAGACGGUCGAACUUGACCGUCUAGAGGAAGUAAAAGUCGUAACA
rnacentral:rRNA from 1 species